UACGUAGGGUCCGAGCGUUGUCCGGAAUUACUGGGCGUAAAGAGCUCGUAGGUGGUUUGUCGCGUUGUUCGUGAAAACUCACAGCUUAACUGUGGGCGUGCGGGCGAUACGGGCAGACUGGAGUACUGCAGGGGAGACUGGAAUUCCUGGUGUAGCGGUGGAAUGCGCAGAUAUCAGGAGGAACACCGGUGGCGAAGGCGGGUCUCUGGGCAGUAACUGACGCUGAGGAGCGAAAAGCCGUGGGGGAGCGAACAGG
rnacentral:rRNA from 1 species